rnacentral:lncRNA from 10 species
CUUGUAUUCCUCAGGGACGCUCAUGUCUGCUCUCCUGGCAUUUCAGGACGUGUGACCAAUCCCACCCAUGAGCUAUGUGUCCUUUGAAAACAAAGUUUCAGCUUUCCCAAUCCUGCAAACACUCUCUCCCCUCCAGACCAGGCCAGAAAGCACAGAGUUAGCCUGGCUAAAACAGAGGAUGAGAAAGUGAACACACAGGGAGAACCCCAGACACUAACAUUUCAAAAAACAGUCCUGCCAUUUAUUUCUCAUCCCCAGCAUCCAGGCCCACCUGGCCAAGUUUCCAAAGUGGAGAGAACCAUCCAAGACUAGAGCCAGGGGACAUGGACGAUGCUGGCAUGUAGUAGGUGCUCAAUGCACAGCUGCUCCAUGCCCACCACUGGAACUCCACCUGGUACACUUUCAUCAUUUUCAAAGGAAGACCUGAAUAGCAAUGAACUCAUUGGUCAAGAGCAGUGGAGUUUUGGCAUGGAAUACCCUGUACCCUGGACCCACCACGAUGGAGUAAUGUGGAGACUCAAGGCUGAUUCUUAGCCAGGCCAGUGGCUUCAGAAAGGGCCAGGAGCCUGCAGUUACACAGCUCCAUCUUUCUGCCCCUCCCUCCACCCCCUGCCUUUUAUUUCUUAUUUGUUACAGCCUUUCAUGAGGAACAACAGUCAGUAACACAAACAUUAUAUUCAUCUCUGCUCAUUCUCCCCUCCAGGGACCAAACAAGUUUUUUUUUCUGGGCAUUGAAAAUACGUCUCACCCCAGCUUUUAAAUAGGCUCAAUGUUAGACAGAAAAGCACACAUUCUGUAGAAUGAUGGAGGAAGGGUAAUUAUGUAUUAAUAAAGACAAAAAAAAAAGAGAAAAAGGAAAAGAAAUUGUUCUUUGCAUCACCCGAUGGCUUUGGCAGAAAUAAAAAUAGCAAAAUGCUUAACUGGUUUUCCUGCCAGUGGGAUGAAUAGGGGGCUGGUGCUCUUGAUUUGAGGCCAUGGGCUGCAGGGCUGUGCUCAGCGUGGGUGGGGACUGUGAGGACUGAGGAUGAGGCUCCAUCAGGGGGGCCAUUUGUGAGGACUUGGGCUGCAGAAGGGGAGGGAGGAGGGAACCCACAGAGAAGCUACCUUCUUGUGUCUCCCUGGGCCUCUGGAGGUGGGUGGUCUCUGUGUCUUUGGGCAAGUCAUAUAUUCUUUCUGUAUAAGAUGGGGAUAAUGAUACCUGAGUAUCAAAAUCUUACCCCAUGUGGUCUAGCAUUUUCAAGGCUGCAAACAGCAGUGGUAUAGAGUGGAAAUAAACCUGGGUUGGAGUCAUAGCUUUGCCGCUUAUCAGUUGCGUGUCCUCGGGCAAGUUACUUAAUCUCUCUGUGCCUCCGUUUCCCCAUUUGAAAAAUGGGGAGGAUGAUAAACCGCAUCGACUUCAGUAUUGUGGCAGAAUGAGUGAAUACAUGUAAAGCAAUUAGAACCGUGCCACUAAGCAUCCUCUCAAGUGUUAUAAUGAUUAUAUUAAUAUCUCCAUUCUUAUUACCGAUAUCCAUAUAGAUGAAGUUCAGUGAAACUGGCUCAGUUUCAUGAAAGAACUGCUAAGUGGAAAAAACCAGGAUCUAAACUCAGGCUUUUGGACUCCAAAUCUCAUUGAAUUUUCUUUAUGCCCAUAACUCCUUCCUUACAAAUGAAAAAUGAAGGGCCUUUUUCAUUUGUAAAAACUCUAACACCGGUGAUAGCUUGUUAACGAGAUCUAAACACAACAUCCUUCAAGGUUAGACAACUUUAGACUGAGUUUUCAGAGCUCACUUUUCUGGUUCUUUGCUUUUUUCUCUGUCUGUAAAAUGGACUCCGACAACAACCAUGAUGUAACAUUGCUCAUGGCAGAAACUCGGUUAAAAACAAAAUCUAGGGGACAAGUUGCAGGGAGGUUAGAAUUAACCAGGUCCCUGGCCACUGGGCCCUGGAAGGUCAGAUGGCUUCCAGCUGGAGGGGAGCUCCAACCCUGUACAUUCCAAUAGGAAGCCGGCAGCUGAAGCUUUGUCUCCAGGGCUUCCAGGUUCUCUGGGGUUUCUUCCUUUCUGACCCUGGAAACAGAAGGAGACUCAAGACUCUCCAUGAAGAUACUUUCUUCUGUUGGCUGAAUUCACGAGGUGGGUCUGAUCCAUGUAUCCCUCCUUGCAACUCAAAAGAAGGCAGCAGCUUUACUUUGAUACAACCUCAGGAAAGGCCCUGCAUUUUCUUUUUAUGAAUCUCGGGCUGUGAUUCAGGAAGAGGGCAAGGGUGGAGUUGGAAAUCGCCCCUCGUGGAAGUGUGAGCUACAGAGAAGCGGAGGAAACCUGGCCGUGUGCUCCAGGAUUUACCUCUGUAACCCAAGAUCCCAGGGAGCUUAGAUAUUGACUUGUGUAGACACUUUCCUUGGGCUGCUCAAGGUGGUUCCCAUGACCCUGUAGGCUCUGCGCAGUCCAGGAGGCCUCAUACCCCCUCCCCUGUUCUGCAUGAGGUUAUUUGGGAGUGUGGAAGGCAACUGGCAUUUUGUCCUCUUAAUACAUGUUAAUAAUGAGAUGCUGCUGAUAAAAUGCUACCAUUUAUUGAGAGUUUAUGUGAAGUGCUUUACUCAUGAAACAAGCAGUGGAGUGUGGCUAGCAUGCUGCCGUUUGCUCCCCAGCAUCCAUCCUUUCCUUCUUGCCAAACAAACCUGAUUUUACACUGGGUGGCAGAGUGCCCAGCUCUGGGUGAAUUGUGAUUGAUUUAAGGGUUAAACUUUAAGCCCAUCCUAACAAUCUUGUUUUUCAUUUUCUCAGCUUCCUGUGUAGCUGUGGCUAGCUGCAAGGCCCAUUUUAGACCAACAAAACCCACAAGGAUGUCUGCUCUGGUAGCUCGUGAAAAAGCUCCAUUUUUUUUUCCCCUAGAUAACAGGAGCAGAUAUGGCUGGCAUAGCCCCUUUGUGCCUCUUUGUGCCUUGCCUGAAAUUGUGAUGGCUGGAGCAAAGCAGCA